AGAACAUUCCAAAUCUGCGGCCAUCACUUAUUAAAAUGCUGUGGCACUACAAUAUUCAUGAGAUAGUCACCAAGCAAAGACGUGGUCACCAUGUUUCCUACGAACAACUAUGCUCAAUGUGUCAACGUCCAGUACUAAUGAUAGGUACACACUAUAAUUGUAUAAUAAGGUUUGAGUGCGGUCAUGUAUACCAUAAACCGUGCACACAAGGUAAAUUACAAAAAAAUUGUACUGAGUGUUACCUUUGGAACUUAGCCGUGGAGAAAUAUGUUUAAUGCGACAUCAGAACCCUGUUAUCCUUAUAGGGUAAUUAAACUUUGUGGCUUGAUUUCUUUAUAAAUCAAACGUGUUUAAUAAUUUCCCUAAUAAUUUAAAUCUUUUUAGCCUUUAAAUUCCCUGACUAUUGAUAAAACUUUUUCACUAAUAAAUUUAGUUUCAGCUA